rnacentral:rRNA from 1 species
AACACAUGCAAGUCGAGGGGUAACAUUGUGCUUGCACAGAUGACGACCGGCGCACGGGUGCGUAACGCGUAUAGAACCUACCUUUUACAGAGGAAUAGCCUUUAGAAAUGAAGAUUAAUGCCUCAUGGUAUUGUAGACUGGCAUCAGUUUAUAAUUAAAGAUUUAUCGGUAAAAGAUGGCUAUGCGUCCUAUUAGUUAGUUGGUAAGGUAACGGCUUACCAAGACAGCGAUAGGUAGGGGUCCUGAGAGGGAGAUCCCCCACACUGGUACUGAGACACGGACCAGACUCCUACGGGAGGCAGCAGUGAGGAAUAUUGGACAAUGGAGGAGACUCUGAUCCAGCCAUGCCGCGUGUAGGAAGAAUGCCCUAUGGGUUGUAAACUACUUUUAUACAGGAAGAAACACUGGUAUGUAUACCAGCUUGACGGUACUGUAAGAAUAAGGACCGGC